UACGUAGGGUGCGAGCGUUGUCCGGAAUUAUUGGGCGUAAAGAGCUCGUAGGCGGUUUGUCGCGUCUGUCGUGAAAGCUUGGGGCUUAACCCCAAGUCUGCGGUGGAUACGGGCAGACUAGAGGCAGGUAGGGGAGAACGGAAUUCCUGGUGUAGCGGUGGAAUGCGCAGAUAUCAGGAGGAACACCGGUGGCGAAGGCGGUUCUCUGGGCAUGACCUGACGCUGAGGAGCGAAAGCAUGGGGAGCGAACAGG
rnacentral:rRNA from 1 species